rnacentral:tRNA from 1 species
GGAAUGUGGCUUAGUCGUAGAGUGCUUGUCUAGCAUGCAUGAAGCCCUAGGUUCAAUUCCUUGAUACCA